CGGUAGUAAAACUUCUAAGAGAAGACGUAUUCUUGAAGAAUUGGAAAUUUUCUCGUCGGCCGCAGAUAGUGAAGUUUCUAUUAAUGAAAUAAGUAAUGAAAUACAAGAGACACUGGAUUUUCCCAACACUCAAGAUGAUACACAAAAUAUAACUGAUUAAAGAACUUUCAAUUAUUGGGUGGAGGUAAUGUAAGAAAAAUAUUAAAACGAAUAAUGACUAAACUAUUCAGUGAUAAAGUAUUGCAGCAUUACUCAUAUGUUGGCUAAGGUAUAAAAGGGAAAAAAAAUUUUAGCCAGUUACCAAUUUGUAAGGUUGUAUUUGACUCUAUUGUCAAAAUUCCAAAAUAAGAAAAUUGUCUACAAGAGGUUGAAGACAAAAUAAAAAUAUAUUUAACUCAAGCGCCUUUUAGGUUGAAGAGAUCAUAUAAAAAAAUUAGUUUCUCAGGAGUGAUCUCUUUCCCGAUAAAACUACAAGUGAUAUAUGAUACAAGAUUUAUGUCAUCAUAGAUAUAUUCUUUUAUUU